UGUUGAAAAAGCGGUUUAGGUCGGACUCAUAACCCGAAGGUCACUGGUUCGAGUCCAGUUCCCGCUACAA
rnacentral:tRNA from 1 species